rnacentral:rRNA from 1 species
GUCGCAAGACGAUGUAUAGGAGCUGACGCCUGCCCGGUGCGGGAAGGUUAAGGGGCUCGGUUAGAGAAAUCGAAGCAGUGAACUAAAGCCCUAGUAAACGGCGGCCGUAUCUAUACCGGGCCUAAGGUAGCGAAAUUCCUUGUCGGGUAAGUUCCGACCCGAACGAAAGGCGUAACGAUUUGGGCACUGUCGCAACAACAGACUCGGUGAAAUUGUAAUUCCGGUGAAGAUGCCGGAUACCUGCGACAGGACGGAAAGACCCCAUGGAGCUUUACUGUAGCUUGACAUUGGGUCUUGGUACUACAUGUACAGGAUAGGUGGGAGGCUUUGA